AAGGCUAAAUACUCCUGACUGACCGAUAGUGAACCAGUACCGUGAGGGAAAGGCGAAAAGAACCCCGGCGAGGGGAGUGAAAAAGAACCUGAAACCGUGUACGUACAAGCAGUGGGAGCCUCUUAAUGGGGUGACUGCGUACCUUUUGUAUAAUGGGUCAGCGACUUAUAUUCUGUAGCAAGGUUAACCGAAUAGGGGAGCCGAAGGGAAACCGAGUCUUAACUGGGCGUUAAGUUGCAGGGUAUAGACCCGAAACCCGGUGAUCUAGCCAUGGGCAGGUUGAAGGUUGGGUAACACUAACUGGAGGACCGAACCGACUAAUGUUGAAAAAUUAGCGGAUGACUUGUGGCUGGGGGUGAAAGGCCAAUCAAACCGGGAGAUAGCUGGUUCUCCCCGAAAGCUAUUUAGGUAGCGCCUCGUGAAUUCAUCUCCGGGGGUAGAGCACUGUUUCGGCAAGGGGGUCAUCCCGACUUACCAACCCGAUGCAAACUGCGAAUACCGGAGAAUGUUAUCACGGGAGACACACGGCGGGUGCUAACGUCCGUCGUGAAGAGGGAAACAACCCAGACCGCCAGCUAAGGUCCCAAAGUCAUGGUUAAGUGGGAAACGAUGUGGGAAGGCCCAGACAGCCAGGAUGUUGGCUUAGAAGCAGCCAUCAUUUAAAGAAAGCGUAAUAGCUCACUGGUCGAGUCGGCCUGCGCGGAAGAUGUAACGGGGCUAAACCAUGCACCGAAGCUGCGGCAGCGACACUAUGUGUUGUUGGGUAGGGGAGCGUUCUGUAAGCCUGUGAAGGUGGCCUGUGAGGGUUGCUGGAGGUAUCAGAAGUGCGAAUGCUGACAUAAGUAACGAUAAAGCGGGUGAAAAGCCCGCUCGCCGGAAGACCAAGGGUUCCUGUCCAACGUUAAUCGGGGCAGGGUGAGUCGACCCCUAAGGCGAGGCCGAAAGGCGUAGUCGAUGGGAAACAGGUUAAUAUUCCUGUACUUGGUGUUACUGCGAAGGGGGGACGGAGAAGGCUAUGUUGGCCGGGCGACGGUUGUCCCGGUUUAAGCGUGUAGGCUGGUUUUCCAGGCAAAUCCGGAAAACCAAGGCUGAGGCGUGAUGACGAGGCACUACGGUGCUGAAGUGACAAAUGCCCUGCUUCCAGGAAAAGCCUCUAAGCAUCAGGUAACAUCAAAUCGUACCCCAAACCGACACAGGUGGUCAGGUAGAGAAUACCAAGGCGCUUGAGAGAACUCGGGUGAAGGAACUAGGCAAAAUGGUGCCGUAACUUCGGGAGAAGGCACGCUGAUAUGUAGGUGAAGCGACUUGCUCGUGGAGCUGAAAUCAGUCGAAGAUACCAGCUGGCUGCAACUGUUUAUUAAAAACACAGCACUGUGCAAACACGAAAGUGGACGUAUACGGUGUGACGCCUGCCCGGUGCCGGAAGGUUAAUUGAUGGGGUUAGCGGUAACGCGAAGCUCUUGAUCGAAGCCCCGGUAAACGGCGGCCGUAACUAUAACGGUCCUAAGGUAGCGAAAUUCCUUGUCGGGUAAGUUCCGACCUGCACGAAUGGCGUAAUGAUGGCCAGGCUGUCUCCACCCGAGACUCAGUGAAAUUGAACUCGCUGUGAAGAUGCAGUGUACCCGCGGCAAGACGGAAAGACCCCGUGAACCUUUACUAUAGCUUGACACUGAACAUUGAGCCUUGAUGUGUAGGAUAGGUGGGAGGCUUUGAAGUGUGGACGCCAGUCUGCAUGGAGCCGACCUUGAAAUACCACCCUUUAAUGUUUGAUGUUCUAACGUUGGCCCCUAAUCGGGGUUGCGGACAGUGUCUGGUGGGUAGUUUGACUGGGGCGGUCUCCUCCUAAAGAGUAACGGAGGAGCACGAAGGUUGGCUAAUCCUGGUCGGACAUCAGGAGGUUAGUGCAAUGGCAUAAGCCAGCUUGACUGCGAGCGUGACGGCGCGAGCAGGUGCGAAAGCAGGUCAUAGUGAUCCGGUGGUUCUGAAUGGAAGGGCCAUCGCUCAACGGAUAAAAGGUACUCCGGGGAUAACAGGCUGAUACCGCCCAAGAGUUCAUAUCGACGGCGGUGUUUGGCACCUCGAUGUCGGCUCAUCACAUCCUGGGGCUGAAGUAGGUCCCAAGGGUAUGGCUGUUCGCCAUUUAAAGUGGUACGCGAGCUGGGUUUAGAACGUCGUGAGACAGUUCGGUCCCUAUCUGCCGUGGGCGCUGGAGAACUGAGGGGGGCUGCUCCUAGU
rnacentral:rRNA from 1 species